CCCCCCCCCCCCCCCCCCCCCCCCCCCCCCCCCCCCCCCCCCCCCCCCCCCCCCCCCCCCCCCCCCCAGGGCCCGGCCCGGCACGGCACAGCCCGGCUCGGCGCGGCCCGGCGGGACGGCGGCUGCGAUCCGCCGCGGCCGGCGAUGGGAGAUGGAGGGAGCCGGCGGUGCGGCAGAAGCACUUGUGCUGGAUAAUGACAUAUCAGCUCAUGCCCAGAAUGUUGCCAAGGCCAAAUAUGAAUUUUUAUUUGGCUUGGAAGAAGAGAAACCUUCAGGAAUGGCAGGGACUUGUGCUGGAGACACAUUGGUGGAGGGAAUCCCUGCACUUCUCUAGAGUGGAGUUGUUCAGCCACGAGUUCUGCAAUUGCACAUGCUGAAACAUGGCCAUUUCUGCCUGGAGCUCCUUCCAGAAAUGUGCUUCGUGGUCUUUCUACAGGUAGAGGUAGUGGCCGUGGAAGCAGCAGUUUGCCUCCUCACACCACCAUCAAUGAAUUUCCAGAGUACGGCAGCGUAGAGUCAAGCAGACAGGCGGCGGGGGCCCCGCCCGUGACGCGCAGCCCCGAAGGACGGGACGGCCACCACCGCGCCCGGCCCGGGCCUCCGCGCGCGGCCCCUGCCCCCCCCCCCCCCCCCCCCCCCCCCCCCCCCCCCCCCCCCCCCCCCCCCCCCCCCCCCCCCCCCCCCCCCCCCCCCCCCCCCCCCCCCCCCCCCCCCCCCCCCCCCCCCCCCCCCCCCCCCCCCCCCCCCC
rnacentral:lncRNA from 1 species